UACGCCAAUGAUACCCAUGGAAGCCUUUUGU
rnacentral:piRNA from 1 species